rnacentral:rRNA from 1 species
AACGAACGCUGGCGGCAGGCCUAACACAUGCAAGUCGAACGCAUCCUUCGGGGUGAGUGGCGCACGGGUGAGUAACACGUGGGAAUGUACCCUUUGGUUCGGAAUAACGUCUGGAAACGGACGCUAAUACCGGAUGAGCCCUGCGGGGGAAAGAUUUAUCGCCAAAGGAGCAGCCCGCGUCUGAUUAGCUAGUUGGUGGGGUAAAGGCCUACCAAGGCGACGAUCAGUAGCUGGUCUGCGAGGAUGAUUAGCCACACUGGGACUGAGCCACGGCCCAGACUCCUACGGGAGGCAGCAGGGGGGAAUAUUGGACAAUGGGCGGAAGCCUGAUCCAGCCCUGCGGCGUGAGUGAUGAAGGCCUUCGGGUUGUAAAGCUCUUUCGCACGCGACGAUGAUGACGGUAGCGUGAGAAGAAGCCCCGGCUAACUUCGUGCCAGCCGCCGCCGUAACAC